rnacentral:antisense_RNA from 1 species
AGCUAUCAGCUUCCCAGUUUGCACAAUUCAUCAAGAAAUUAUGCGGGGCCACUGGCACAAAUGGUGAGGCAUCUCCCGGAAGCUUAACUUCCUAUCCAUCCCAUCUCUUCGACAGAUGAUGCCAGUUAAUUACUUUGAAU